GACGAACGCUGGCGGCGUGCCUAAUACAUGCAAGUCGAGCGGACAGAUGGGAGCUUGCUCCCUGAUGUUAGCGGCGGACGGGUGAGUAACACGUGGGUAACCUGCCUGUAAGACUGGGAUAACUCCGGGAAACCGGGGCUAAUACCGGAUGGUUGUUUGAACCGCAUGGUUCAAACAUAAAAGGUGGCUUCGGCUACCACUUACAGAUGGACCCGCGGCGCAUUAGCUAGUUGGUGAGGUAACGGCUCACCAAGGCGACGAUGCGUAGCCGACCUGAGAGGGUGAUCGGCCACACUGGGACUGAGACACGGCCCAGACUCCUACGGGAGGCAGCAGUAGGGAAUCUUCCGCAAUGGACGAAAGUCUGACGGAGCAACGCCGCGUGAGUGAUGAAGGUUUUCGGAUCGUAAAGCUCUGUUGUUAGGGAAGAACAAGUACCGUUCGAAUAGGGCGGUACCUUGACGGUACCUAACCAGAAAGCCACGGCUAACUACGUGCCAGCAGCCGCGGUAAUACGUAGGUGGCAAGCGUUGUCCGGAAUUAUUGGGCGUAAAGGGCUCGCAGGCGGUUUCUUAAGUCUGAUGUGAAAGCCCCCGGCUCAACCGGGGAGGGUCAUUGGAAACUGGGGAACUUGAGUGCAGAAGAGGAGAGUGGAAUUCCACGUGUAGCGGUGAAAUGCGUAGAGAUGUGGAGGAACACCAGUGGCGAAGGCGACUCUCUGGUCUGUAACUGACGCUGAGGAGCGAAAGCGU
rnacentral:rRNA from 1 species